AAUUUACUAAUUCCACAAUAAUUACUAAACAAAACAAGAUAAAAAAAACAUUCCAAUAAAAAAAUAAACCAAAAGAAAAUAGAAAAAAGAAAAAAUAAAAUUUUAACAUAAUCAAAUUGAAAAUCACCAUAAAACCCACAAAACUAGAAAAAACAAAAAUUAUAAGAAUAAAACAAAGAGCUAAUCCCCCUCAAUCUUAACGCCAAAUAAAACAAAAAUAAAUAAAUGAUAAAACAUAAAUAAGACGUAUGAAUUAAAUUCAUUUCUUGGAAAACCAGAAACCACCAAAGACGAA
rnacentral:rRNA from 1 species